rnacentral:tRNA from 1 species
UUUCCUGAUAGUUUAAAGAGAAUAUAAUUUUGAAGAAAUUAAGGUAGUGUAAA